rnacentral:rRNA from 1 species
UGGGGAAUUUUGGACAAUGGGCGCAAGCCUGAUCCAGCCAUGCCGCGUGAGUGAAGAAGGCCUUCGGGUUGUAAAGCUCUUUCGGCGGGGACGAAACGGUUCGUGACAACACCACGGACUAAUGACGGUACCCGCAUAAGAAGCACCGGCUAACUACGUGCCAGCAGCCGCGGUAAUACGUAGGGUGCAGGCGUUAAUCGGAAUUACUGGGCGUAAAGCGUGCGCAGGCGGUUUGUAAGACAGGUGUGAAAUCCCCGGGCUUAACCUGGGAAUUGCGCUUGUAACUGGCAGGCUAGAGUGUGGCAGAGGGGGGUGGAAUUCCACGUGUAGCAGUGAAAUGCGUAGAUAUGUGGAGGAACACCGAUGGCGAAGGCAGCCCCCUGGGUUAACACUGACGCUCAUGCACGAAAGCGUGGGGAGCAAACAGGAUUAGAUACCCACGUAGUCCCUGAGCGGGCUGGCAAGGCGCAU